CUGCGGCCUGCUCCAUUCUUUGCAUACCCUGGGCUCUGUCAUGUAUCACAAAGGGUUUUACAUUCACAUGGGUGGAUGACAUUGUCAGCACAUCCAAGCUCUGUCCAUCUUGUAUAAAUAGUUGCUCUGGACCUAGUGAAGACCAAUGAAGAGAAGACAAGAAGUAUGGUACAGAAUCCUUAUGAUUGGGCAUAAACCAGCUCUGAUCCUCUAAGGUGUGGUCUUUGCCUUAAAGAUCCCAAAUAGCUGCUGGAGUUCCAGCCUCACAUGCACUAACAGAAUGGAGAAAGCAAAGAAUGGCAUGAUCCCACCUUUAAAGAACACUUCCCAGAAUUUUCUAAAAAUCUUUCUUUAUAUUAUCAUUGACUAGAACAUAGUCAUAUGUCGACACCUA
rnacentral:lncRNA from 1 species